AGGUCUUUACUAAAGCUUUUAAAAUUUGUUGUAGGUGUGACCUUUAGAAAAAAAAAUACCCACUAGGUUUGCUUUCAGGUGCAUUAGUAGUUAAACAGCUUUGUGGGAAUAUUU
rnacentral:snoRNA from 1 species